rnacentral:rRNA from 1 species
UACGAAGGGGACUAGCGUUGUUCGGAAUCACUGGGCGUAAAGCGCACGUAGGCGGAUAUGUCAGUCAGGGGUGAAAUCCCGGGGCUCAACCUCGGAACUGCCUUUGAUACAGCAUAUCUUGAGUCCGAUAGAGGUGGGUGGAAUUCCUAGUGUAGAGGUGAAAUUCGUAGAUAUUAGGAAGAACACCGGUGGCGAAGGCGGCUCUCUGGACGGUGACUGACGCUGAGACGCGAAAGCGUGGGGAGCAAACAGG